GGCUCAAUUGUUACAUUACUUCAGCUGCUAAAAUAUGAUUAUAGUCCAGAAAGAUGAAAUAAAAGGCAAAAAGGCCUAUGUAAUUCUUGCAAUAAUCUAGCGUCAAAUUACAUUGAAAUAGUUUAUCUGAAUAAAAAGAGUGAUGUUAUUUUCAUUUGCACCAUACGAAAUUGAACCAUAGUCUACUACAAUAAGCUUCUUAAGUCCUAAUUGAAAUUUACCAAUACACUGCUGUUGCAUUUAUGGAUGGUCACGGCUUGAACUUGGAUUUUUUUUUACUUGCUUUGGUCCCUGCUUGAAUUAAAUAGAUGAUGUACCCCUGCUUCUUCAUUGUUGUUGAUCCAUUCACAGUAAUCAUUGUAGAGCCAAAAAGCUUACUCUUGCCUCUAGAAAAGAAGACCAGGACAAAUAAAUAGGAAAUGCUAUAAUUCACUUUUGUUAUCUUGAUGAUAAAACAUUCCAUUAGAACAAGCUAAAGUGACUUCUAUGCUUCAUCCUUGGUAUAUUUAGAGAGAUUCUACGUGCUAGAAAUAGGAUACUCUUCCCAGUGUGUGCCCCAUAUGGUACCAACCGCACAUUCCAAGAGGAAGUGUUACUUCUUUGUUUAUUUAUGAGUUGAAUUAAUUUGUUCAUUGUGAUGGAUUCCUUGUCAAGUCAUGCAUAGACACACUUAAAUUAGGUUAAUUGGUAGGGUAAUAUUCGAGGGGAAUUAUACUUGACUAGGGAUGCCCAUAAACAAUACUGAAUCAUCGAAAUUUAACAUCUACUGUGCUCUCCCCCUCGCUUUCUCUCUCUCUUUCUCUCUGCUUCUUUUUUAGCUCAAAAAGAGAAUCACAAUAGAGGCAACAUUUUUUUGAAAACUUAAAAGCAUAUAUAUUUAGAGAUAUGAAUGUUUCAUUCUAUAUGUAGUUGUAAUUGGGGAAAAUAUUGGUUGAUGUUGCUUUAAAUGUCAUAGAUGCUUAUUUUGCAAUUGCAUCUCCAACUGCUAUUUUACUGAUGACUUGACUCUUUAAUUUCUUUCUUGCUCGAUAUCAAUGCAUAGGUGGCCAUGCUUGCAAAACAAU
rnacentral:misc_RNA from 1 species